rnacentral:lncRNA from 1 species
CGGAUUUGGGUUUUUACAAAACGGAUUUGGGCGGAUUCGGGUUUGAAAAAUUUUACCCGUCUCGGAUUCGGGUAGGGUUCGGGAUUAGGUGAUCGGAUACCCGUUACCCGAACCCGAUUAACUAUACUAACAAAACUAACCCUAAUCCCUAAUUUAUUUUUUCAUUUUACUCUUUCCUCUCUUCGUCUACGUCUCUCUCUCCGUCGCUUCCCUUCCCAUAGUUCUCAGUCACGCCUCUCCCCUACUUCACUGCCGGCAGCCCAGUCGUCACCGGCGAUGUCUCCUUUCUCUCCCCAGUCGACAAUAAAUCUUCUCUCUCCCCCGUUAGCAAUAUCUCCUUCUCUCUCUCCAGCAGCGACAUCUCCGACUUUCCAGUUGAAGACAACUCUUCUCUUUGCCCGGUCGGCGUCGGCGAUAUCUCCUUCUCUCUCCCCAGUCGGGUGAAAUCUACUCUUUUCGAUUUACGCUUCUCUCCCCGCACUUCACUGACGCUAGAGACAACCCUUCUCUCCUCAAUCGGCGACAUCUGCUUUGACUAGAACUCUCUUCAGGUUUCAAGAUCUUUUAUGUGUAUAUUCUUAAAGAAUUUUAUAAUUUAUGAACUAUUAAUCUGAUUAUUUGGAUAUGUUAAAAAAUCUA